rnacentral:rRNA from 1 species
AGUGAACACUGGCGGCAGGCCUAAUACAUGCAAGUCGAACGGCAGCACAGCAGAGCUUGCUCUGUGGGUGGCGAGUGGCGGACGGGUGAGGAAUACAUGGGAAUCUGCCCAGUCGUGGGGGAUAACGUAUGGAAACGUACGCUAAUACCGCAUGCGCCCUACGGGGGAAAGCCGGGGACCGCAAGGCCUGGCGCGACUGGAUGAGCCCAUGUUCGAUUAGCUAGUUGGCGGGGCAAAGGCCCACCAAGGCGACGAUCGAUAGCUGGUCUGAGAGGAUGAUCAGCCACACUGGAACUGAGACACGGUCCAGACUCCUACGGGAGGCAGCAGUAGGGAAUAUUGGACAAUGGGGGCGAACCCUGAUCCAGCCAUGCCGCGUGAGUGAAGAAGGCCCUCGGGUUGUAAAGCCUUUUGUCCGGAAAGAAAAGCAAUCGGUUAAUACCCGGUUGUUCUGACGGUACCGGAAGAAUAAGCACCGGCUAACUUCGUGCC